GAUGAACGCUGGCGGCGUGCCUAAUACAUGCAAGUCGAGCGAACGGACGAGAAGCUUGCUUCUCUGAUGUUAGCGGCGGACGGGUGAGUAACACGUGGAUAACCUACCUAUAAGACUGGGAUAACUUCGGGAAACCGGAGCUAAUACCGGAUAAUAUUUUGAACCGCAUGGUUCAAAAGUGAAAGACGGUCUUGCUGUCACUUAUAGAUGGAUCCGCGCUGCAUUAGCUAGUUGGUAAGGUAACGGCUUACCAAGGCAGCGAUGCAUAGCCGACCUGAGAGGGUGAUAGGCCACACUGGAACUGAGACACGGUCCAGACUCCUAAGGGAGGCAGCAGUAGGGAAUCUUCGGCAAUGGGCGAAAGCCUGACGGAGCAACGCCGCGUGAGUGAUGAAGGUCUUCGGAUCGUAAAACUCUGUUAUUAGGGAAGAACAUAUGUGUAAGUAACUGUGCACAUCUUGACGGUACCUAAUCAGAAAGCCACGGCUAACUACGUG
rnacentral:rRNA from 1 species